rnacentral:rRNA from 1 species
AUUGAACGCUGGCGGCAGGCUUAACACAUGCAAGUCGAACGAUGAAGAUAUAGCUUGCUAUAUCGGAUUAGUGGCGGACGGGUGAGUAACACUUAGGAAUCUACCUUUUAGCGGGGGAUAGCUCGGGGAAACUCGAAUUAAUACCGCAUAAUUUCUACGGAAUAAAGAGGGCUUUUAGCUCUCACUAGAAGAUGAGCCUAAGUAAGAUUAGCUAGUUGGUGGGGUAAAAGCCUACCAAGGCGACGAUCUUUAGCUGGUCUGAGAGGAUGAUCAGCCACACUGGGACUGAGACACGGCCCAGACUCCUACGGGAGGCAGCAGUGGGGAAUAUUGGACAAUGGGGGCAACCCUGAUCCAGCCAUGCCGCGUGUGUGAAGAAGGCCUUUUGGUUGUAAAGCACUUUAACGCAGUGAAAGAAGACCUAUUGGUUAAUACCCAAUAGCGAUGACAUUAACUGCAGAAUAAGCACCGGCUAACUCUGUGCCAGCAGCCGCGGUAAUACAGAGGGUGCAAGCGUUAAUCGGAAUUACUGGGCGUAAAGCGAGCGUAGGUGGUUAAAUAAGUCAGAUGUGAAAGCCCUGGGCUCAACCUAGGAACGGCAUCUGAAACUAUUUAACUAGAGUAGGUGAGAGGGAAGUAGAAUUUCAGGUGUAGCGGUGAAAUGCGUAGAGAUCUGAAGGAAUACCGAUGGCGAAGGCAGCUUCCUGGCAUCAUACUGACACUGAGGCUCGAAAGCGUGGGUAGCAAACAGGAUUAGAUACCCUGGUAGUCCACGCCGUAAACGAUGUCUACUAGCCGUUGGGGAACUUGAUUCCUUAGUGGCGCAGCUAACGCAAUAAGUAGACCGCCCUGGGGAGUACGGCCGCAAGGUUAAAACUCAAAUGAAUUGACGGGGGCCCGCACAAGCGGUGGAGCAUGUGGUUUAAUUCGAUGCAACGCGAAGAACCUUACCUGGUCUUGACAUACACAGAAUCUAGCAGAGAUGCAAGAGUGCCUUCGGGAAUUGUGAUACAGGUGCUGCAUGGCUGUCGUCAGCUCGUGUCGUGAGAUGUUGGGUUAAGUCCCGCAACGAGCGCAACCCUUAUCCUUAGUUGCCAGCACGUAAUGGUGGGGACUCUAAGGAGACUGCCAGUGACAAACUGGAGGAGGGCGAGGACGACGUCAGUCAUCAU